ACCAUAACCGAAGCGCGAUGCGCAGUGCUCACACAGAUUGUCUGAUGAAAUGAACAAGAGUUCGAUAGCGUCUUGCGAAGCUGACAAGAGAUGUCCCCUUCGUCUAGAGGCCCAGGACACCGCCCUUUCACGGCGGUAACAGGGGUUCGAAUCCCCUAGGGGACGCCAUUGAACGGACGGUGAGUGAAAGGCACGGUCAACAGUAACCUAAAACUGAUUAGCGAUAGUCAGGUUUAUGUUAUUUGCUCUUUAACAAUCUGGAACAAGCUGAAAAUUGAAACGACGACAUAGGGAUGAGAAUUCAUGUGUUGUUCGAGUCUC
rnacentral:misc_RNA from 1 species